rnacentral:rRNA from 1 species
GAUGAACGCUGGGGCGUGCCUAAUCCAUGCAAGUCGAGCGAACGGACGAGAAGCUUGCUUCUCUGAUGUUAGCGGCGGACGGGUGAGUAACACGUGGAUAACCUACCUAUAAGACUGGGAUAACUUCGGGAAACCGGAGCUAAUACCGGAUAAUAUUUUGAACCGCAUGGUUCAAAAGUGAAAGACGGUCUUGCUGUCACUUAUAGAUGGAUCCGCGCUGCAUUAGCUAGUUGGUAAGGUAACGGCUUACCAAGGCAACGAUGCAUAGCCGACCUGAGAGGGUGAUCGGCCACACUGGAACUGAGACACGGUCCAGACUCCUACGGGAGGCAGCAGUAGGGAAUCUUCCGCAAUGGGCGAAAGCCUGACGGAGCAACGCCGCGUGAGUGAUGAAGGUCUUCGGAUCGUAAAACUCUGUUAUUAGGGAAGAACAUAUGUGUAAGUAACUGUGCACAUCUUGACGGUACCUAAUCAGAAAGCCACGGCUAACUACGUG